UACGAAGGGGGCUAGCGUUGCUCGGAAUCACUGGGCGUAAAGGGCGCGCAGGCGGCUGCUCAAGUCAGGCGUGAAAGGCCUGGGCUCAACCCGGGAAUUGCGCUUGAGACUGGCUGGCUUGGAGUGCGGGAGAGGUGAGUGGAACUGGCGAGUGUAGAGGUGAAAUUCGUAGAUAUUCGCAAGAACACCAGUGGCGAAGGCGGCUCACUGGCCCGGUACUGACGCUGAGGCACG
rnacentral:rRNA from 1 species